UAUACUAACCCAUAACAAAGAAUUAUUUUGGAGAGUUAAAGUGAAGAGUUACCAACUUAACAUUACUCAAAGAUCAUUUAACAUGAAGUUCAUCACUUCAAUUUUGUUCCUACUGCUUGUUCUUUCCAUGGAAAUUGAAAAUGAAGGAGCAAUGAAAAUGGUAGAAGCAGAAGUGUGUGCAGAAGAGUUCAACUGGCCAGAUUGUAGUUUAUUCUCGUGUAAAACUGAAUGUAUCAAAAGACAUGGAAAAUCUGCGACUGCAAUGUGUGAUGACAUUUUUUUAUGCAUUUGCAAUUUCCCUUGUAAUUAGGCCUUUCGUUUUAUCA